rnacentral:lncRNA from 1 species
UGGCAGCCAGGGUCCCGCUGCUCUUCUCUGUGAUGGAUAAAGAAACAGAGACUCAUAGAGGGAGAAGGUUUAAAGAAAGUCAAGCAGUAAGAAACGUAUCCAGAAUUUCGACCAGAGCCUCUUCCUCCAAAUACAAUUCUCUCCCAUGGCACUUUGCAUUUGAAUUUCUUCAAAUUAAGAGUAGUGGUGGGAAAGGGAAAUAAUGUUGGUUGUAGGUAUGUUGGGUAAAGGUCAGCAGUUAUAUCUCAAUUCUCUUGUGGUCUUAAGCAAAGCUCCAUGGUAAUUGGCAUGGGCUUAUGCUAGUGACCAAGUAUGAAAGGAAUUUAUUAACUCCAAUCCAAAUAUUAAAUAAGGCUGGGGAAGUUCCUGUUGAGAGGGAUUAGUCAAAAAGAUUUGUUCUAAGAGAGUCUUUGUCAUAUAAGUUGAGUGCAUUUAUGUGCCUGAGUCACAAAAGAGCUAAGUUAGUCCUUGGACUGCCUUAUAAAGAGCUGUAGAUACUUCUUGUGGGUUAGAAACAACCUAAGUGCCUAGAAUUAGCAAAUCAUACAAGCCAGUGAGUGAAGAAGUCAAUUUAGUGGAAAAGCAGCAGAUGGCAGGUCAGUAGAAGAAAGAGACCCAGCAGCUGACAUCAGUAGCUCACAGCUCAGUCAAGAAAGCAGCAGUCUUUAUAUGAAAGUAGUAAUCAACAUUAGAGGCAGACAGAUGUUUCUUCUAAAAAUGUAAUCCUAUAAGUGUGGAGUGGUCUGAGCUACAAGCAUUCCCUCCUCAUCCUGUGAUAUGUGAAUGUCAGAGAAUGUGAUUCUGUAUAGAUGGGUUGUGAUUCUCCCUUAUUAUCUAACUUGUUAUUCUGUUUUAUUAAAUGCCUUUGCUUUGAGUUAACAUGUCCUCUGUCUUUUUUGAUAGAAGAAAAGCACUGAAAAGGGGCUUAUCAGCUUUGUCUUUGAAGAGACAUUGGUCCAAUGAGUGCCUAGAAUAUAGAUGUAGCUUUCAGGGGCCAAGCUUUAUAUCUAUAUAAAGCUUUUCACUAAAAUUCUUCUCUGAAGAACUAUCAUGAUGUAGAGGAGACACUGGGAACUCAAGGAUGAUACCAGCAGAACAUAAGCUUUAUAGGUCUUACUAGAAAGGCUUUGAGUGUGGCCAAAUGAUGAACUGCAAUCCUACUACAGGAAGAAGUCUUGCUAAGUACAAAGUUUGGCCAUGAAG